rnacentral:rRNA from 1 species
AGAGGACCGGGAUGGACAUACCUCUGGUGUACCAGUUGUUCUGCCAAGGGCAUCGCUGGGUAGCUACGUAUGGACGGGAUAAGCGCUGAAAGCAUCUAAGUGCGAAGCCCCCCACAAGACUAGAUUUCCCCCGUAAGGUAAGACCCGUGAGAGACUAUCACGUUGAUAGGUCGGAGGUGUAAGUACAGUAAUGUAUUCAGCUGACCGAUACUAAUAGGUCGAACGCUUGACCAA